GGGCGCGCCGGGAGCUCCGCCCGGCUCCUGUGGAGGAAGCGGCGAGGGCGAGCCGCGGGGUCUCGGCGCCUCUGUAUGCUUGCACUUAACGAGAACCCAGAGCGAACACGACCCACAUUUCUCUUUUUGUUUUAAGAGGAAAUAUAGGAGUUACAGCAUAGAAUUACAAUAUCUGGACAUUAGAAAUAACAGGUCCCGGUCACGGUAUGGCACCGCGCGACACACUUGGUCCCUGAGGCCUGGAUGCCGCUCAGCAAACGUUCGCGGAAUAGGGUUGGGUUUACUGUCCCCCACCGAGCCGGUUGCUCAUUCAUUCAGCAUAAUUGAAUACCUCCUGUGUGCCAGGCACUGAAUCAAGUGUCGGAGACAAUGUCCUGCCCUCAAGCUCCUGGCCGGUUACUUGACAACCUUCCGGGACCUCAACGCUAUGUGCCUACUGUGUGAAAGCAAAGUGCCAGGUGGAGGACACAAAGAUGGCGAGCGACACAGGAUAGUCCUUAACAAUUAAGCGUGACUAAUUUUAAUAACAAAUGAGAAUAUGAUGUGACAUCCGUUCCAAAUCCUGUCGUUCCAAGUAACUUCUUAAGCAUCUUUCACGAUACAGCCUCUGCUUGAAAGGAAUUAAAACAGGUACAAGCAUGGAAGGAGACGUUGCUAUCAUAUUUCAAGAAUAAGAAAAUGCUGUUUUGUGUGGUUGUGCAGCAGGCAAUGAAAUGAGCUUACAUUCAAGCUUCCGUGUUUUACUGAAACAACAGUCACAGAUGCAGUAGAUGUUAAAGGUUGAAAGACGAGUGCAGUAAAAGCAUUAUGAGGACAAGAAGAAAACGUAAAUAUUUGUGUUGUUUCAUUCUUUGUUGUGGUGGCAGAAACAGCCCCCUCUUUCUAAGAGUAAGGAAGGACUGAAAGGAGGAGAAACUAUGGGUUGCCUUUUCCUUCUGUCAUCUGUUCAGCAUUUCAUAGUAAAACCUUUGUUGAUUUAAUAAACAUAAUGGAUACUCAUUAAAAUAUUCAAACAGCAUAGAAAGGGACAAAGAAGAAAGCAGCCAGCAAUCCAAGUACCACUAUCCAGAAAUAGCCAGUGAUAUCUCUUUAUGUGUGGAAAUACAAUGAAAAUUGAGUGAGAGACAUACACAGAGGAAGAAGAAAAAGAGUAAGUUAUAAAAGAAGCAAUCAAACUCCAAAUGGUGCUGCAAACUGAACCCCACAUGGACACGCCAUUCUUCUGAGGACCCUUAGAUCCACCCCAGGAGGAGCCCUAGCUGCUGUUCCCCAUUCGAUGCCCCUUUUCAGCCCCAACUGGACUCCAAGUGCCACGAGAACAGAGAUUGGGUCUGGUCCCCAGCUUCAGUGCCUCCAAGGCAGAAACUCAAGAGACGUUGUUGAACUGUCAGCCUUUACAUUUAUGCAUUACUAUUGAAGGCCUGGAAUAAAUGGAUCGUGUUUUACCUGUUAUCUUGCUCAUCUCUAUUACUGCUUCAUCAGCAGCUCUUCCCAAAGCAAUAAAAUGAACAAUGGCCCCA